UAUUAUUUUAGUAUUGAAGAUCCCUUUCAUUUUGGUUUUUUUUUCAGACUUGAAAUAAAACAGUCCAGAACUGAGUUGCACAGAAUUUUUUAUUGUGCUUGUGAAAAUGUUGGCACCAGUGGCAAAAGCAGGUGAGAGUGUGGAGCAAUCAUUCACAGUAGCAUCAAGGUAGGAUAUGAAACAGGUUUGGUUGGAGGAUGCCUUCAGGCUGCCAUUAGCACCUCUUAAUGAUAUGAAGCCUAGAUGUCUGCUUGAUGCAUCUAAUUUAGACUAAUGAGCCUUGAUUAGUUUUUAAGGGCCAAGAAGGUUCAGCAAGAGCUGGCUGAGUUCACCUGCAGGACUACAGGUUGUUGCUCCUUUAACUGUCAGACAGUGCUGAUGACCAACACCAGCAUUUACUCAUUGUUCCCCAUCAGAAUCCAGCCUUGCUGAGUGUUAUGGGUAAGUAUCCCUAUCCAGAGAGGUGUUGGCAACUCCCAGCAUGGAGAAAGCAGGAAGAGGCAGGGGAGUAUGGCCCCUUCUCCAGACAAGGACACUGGAUAAGCACUCCUAAUACUGCCACCAUGAAAGCUGCAAUUUUAAGAAACAAACUUCAAUUUUGAAGUCCUUUGUUAUACUUUUGUAACCCUGGAUAGAAGAUACAAUGCAAAUAUUCUCCUAUUCCUAUGUCCUUGAGUAGAGUGGAAGAGAAACUUCCUGAAAAAAAAGGUUUUCUGUGCUCUGAGCUGACUGGGGCCAUGGACAGAUUUCUGUUUCUCACCAGUGCCAAACCAGGUUGCUGUUGACAACCACUGGCCCUGGUGCUCCCAUACUCACCUGCCUCUUCAUCCUGGCCUCCUGACUGGAAAGUCAUGGUGAUUUCCACAGUGGGAGGAGGUAGGAAUCCCCACACCAAAUGUGCUAGGAAUGAGUGGAAAGAGCAGAUCCUUCUGCUGUAGCUUCUCACCUUAUUUUACAUGUGGUUUAAAUUUCACAAAUCCAUUGUAACUGGUUUUACCCCUUCUCCUACCUUGAGAAAAUAACACAGAGUUAAAUACUUUUUCUUGACAGUGUUUUUAACAUGCAGUAGGAGGAUAAAUGUGAACACUAAGGAGCUUUUGCUUCUUUGUGUUUUCUGUGCCUCAAAUGAGGAGCAAGUGACUCAUGGGCCACCCCACCAUUUCUCUAGUUGUAAAUACCCAUAGUUUGUGUUUUCUUUAGGUCAGAGAUGGGUGGGUCAAAUGGAAAAGGCCACUGACACAGACAAUCCCAUGGCAAAGGAUGCCUCCAAGGAGGCAGUGGUUUAUCUACCAGAAAGGCAUCAUGAAUCAGAGGGGGCAACCAGAGCUGGCAAAACACCUGUUCAUCCACGGUCUUUGACAUCAGUGACUGGAGAAAAGGCCAGUAGUGGAGCUGGUCCAGGACUGAUGAGAAGGCAGAGUAUUAUCUCAUCCAGAAGCUGUGGAGCAGUGAAUUGUAAUUCCAGCGCCCAAGGAGAGUGUCUAGAACUCAACAUGUCCUGCCAUUUCACUGAAUUUCUGGCAAUAUUGGGAAGGUUCUCCAAAGAUCCAGAGACAAGCUUCCUGUGAAACUCCACUAUCAUUUAACAAACAAAAACAAGCCAAUUAAUAACAGGAAGAAACAGUAUGAAGUGUAGACACCAACGCUGGAAAACGACAGGGGAAAAAAAAUCCAGGGUUUGUUUUUAAUCCUGUCAAUUUGGGAGGAAAGAGAGUGUCUGGAACUGAAAGACUAAAACUGCAACCCACCCAAUGCAAUUCCUGUAAAUAUAACGUACCAAAGAUUCCAACAAGUGCCACCUUUGGUAUAACCGUGAUCCUUCCCAUUCCAGGCCUUGCUGGAACUGGCUCUGGGGUACUGCACAGCCCAUGACCUGUCUGAGGAAGGAAAAAGCAGCUCAGUUAAGGUUGCGCGGCGUCUCGGAUGCAGAUGUACAGCGAGGGACCCCACGGGGUGUGAACACGCCAGCAUCCCUAAGAAACAACUUCCUGGACAUGGAAAUGUUUGCUGUGUCCCAACCAACCCUAAGAUAAUUAAUGAACAAAGCACCUUUUAGCAACUGCACUUUUUGCUGGCAGAAACACACCUUACAGCUGAUCCCGCCGCGGCUGGGACUGGAGCCGGACUGGCAGGCGUUAGCCAGGCCACGGCUGCUGCCUGCGGGCAGGAAUGAGCCUGGCGAAGAGACAUGGUGAGAACAAAAAUGCAGGCAGGCCCGGGGGUGCAGUAUUUGAGGGAUGAAUGCCUAAAGCACAUCGGGGACUCCGCGCCUUGCUGCGCUCUCGGGGCUGGCAGCGGAGAGCGGAGCAGGAGAGGAACCCAGCGUCUCGUAAAGCAGCAUAUGGAUAGAGCGCAAAUGGAUGGGGUUUUAUGUCCUGUGCAAUAUUUUCAUUGAUAUUUAUUUUGAUUUAAUUUGGCUAAUGUGCACGAGAAAUGAAAGCGUGCCAUACUCCUCAACAUCUGAUGAGGAGCUGAAUCCUUUUUGGAAUUAGUAUUCCCACAUAGUAUUCCCACAUAGGUCUGCCCAGCAACUGUGCUGGAAAAGCAUGAAUCACUCCAUGUAAAUCACGGGAUGACCCUUGGAGCAGCAGAUUGUUUUUUUAAUGUUGAAUUGUUUCUGUUAGUAUUACAGUUUUUAAUCUUUCAGCCUUUCGUCUAUAACUUUAAUUUUCCUUUUAAUGAACGUGGAGUUUCAUUUCACACACUCUCAAACCACUUCAAAGAGAGGGAUUUUAAAAAAAAUAUUAAUGAAAUAUUAUGAGAUUUGUUAUAAGGGUGAAAGAUGGCAAUGGUCCUUAUCCCUGCUUUGAGAGAGGAGAGGCUGAAGUGGAGCCCGCAGCGACGGUCACAAAUUGUAGCAAGAGGUUGGAGAGCAGGGUGCAAAUCUCUGCCAAAGACUUCCAGGGUGAAGUUGGGCAAGUGACAUAAAUCUUCCUCUCUCGUAGCUGCCAUCUGCAAUACGGGACAAAAAGAGCCCGUUUCCUCCACAGGGAUCUGUAUAUAAAUGCCUUAAAAUUGGCGAGGGGCGACAGCGAUGGCAGGGCCAUGCGCCGGCUGGAGAGGAACAAAAAAUAAUUCCCCAAAGAGGUCAGAGGCAAAUAAAUCCUCCGCCUUCCCGCCAAAGCAGCGAUCCCAAAGCUUUGUGGCUCUCAAUUUUGAGGGAAUAAAUUUGUGAGAGGAGAGCGGGCUGGGUAAGGUGAGCAGGGGGAGGGGGAUACCCAAAUCAUUACACCCAACCCCCUUCACCCCAACAGGGCACCCCCAGGGCUGCCUCCUGCUGCACCACUGGGAUUUUAAUGUCCCACUUCCCUUGACUGUUAAUAAAGGAACAAAAAGCACAUUUGCCUCCUCAAGGGUGUUGUGAGACAAAGUUGGUAAGUGCUGAAAAGAAACCCAAAGCUGAGGAGAAAGCUGGCUUUGUUUCCUACGGACACAGACCACCACAGACCUUGCUCAGAUUUUGCUGUAACAACUCUUGAAUGAAAACGUGUUCUUCCAGAAAACCCAUCAAACACAUCCUGGCUCGAAACGGCUGCCAGGGUAGUGAAAGGAACUGCAGAUUAUAGAUCCUUGGGGCUCUUGUGGCAGCAAAAUGUUUGUCCCAUGGAUUUGAGCCGGAUCCAAUGAAUCCAAAAAGUGCUCAGAGCGACUGUUUAACACACCCUGUAGGAAAAAAAGGAAAAAAAAAAAAAAAGCUAAAACCAAAAAAAAAAGCAAAACAAGAAACAACAGCAAGAAAAACACUUUAUAUUAAAAUAAUAAUAAUACUGAGACAUUGCACAGGAAAAGGAAAAUUCAGAAGGUCAAAGACUAAACCUUCACCUGAAUCUUAAACUGAACUGGAAAGUAAAGAAAAUUAAAUUCAAUUGGUCAGACCUUGUAAACUGGGGUUGAGGCUUAAAAAAUUAAGUCUCCAAGGACAGCAGCAGGACCAGACUGAAUUUUCAGAGUUGGAGGGGGCACAUUAAGGUACCAUAAAAGAGGUAAGGUACAUAUGAAAGAUUACUUAUCCUGAAUUUCUUCUACCCUGUAUCUCUUGAGCUCUCCAAAAGUAAAAGCUGUAUUUGCAUUUUUCAAACAUGUGUCAAUAUCAUAAUGCAUAUUUUGUGUGUUCACAACCUCUGGAAGAAAAUAACAUUUUUCCAAUGGGAAUAAUUUUUUUUUAAAGUUGUUCUAAGCUAAACCAAGGCAAGGACAAAAUUAUCACAAAAGGAAGUUGAGUAAGGAGUGUAUCCAUAGUCUGAUAUAACUGAAGCAUAAUUUACUGAAAGUAGCUAAAGAAACAGCUACUAAAAAUAGUUAAAGAAAUGGCAUCUUUAACAGAAUGGUGUUUUUCUAUUGUAUUCCAGGCAAGUAAAUAUAUCAGUCAACAUCUGAGAUGGUAAAGGGAUGCAGACAAAACACUGCAGCUGCUUGGUUGUUUUCAGGUGCAUAUUAUAUUUAUAAAGAAG